GGUACUGCAAUACCGGGUCGAUGCGUGGAGUGGACGGAGCAAGCCCCUAUUCCAUCUCCCUGUUCCAAAAAUCAAUUUAAUAUAUGGUCCCCGGGUAGGGGACGUAUCAGAUAUUAAACUGAUAAGAACAGAUACUACACUUGAUCUUAGCCAAAAGGCCGAGAAGCGAUACCUUCCUCCACCUUUAGCAAAGGACUGUAUUUGCCGUCUUAAACUUCACGUUUAGAGUCCUUACAAUAACCUACACAGUUACAUCAGAGAGGAUGCCCAGAUACCUGCACUUUCACGUUCCAUUACUUAGAAAGUUUGAAAAUCCUUACCGAUUGCUGCUAGAUGGACAUUUAGAGCAAUACUUUGAAUGAGGCGUUACACAAUGCAUCGCUUGAACCAAUCACAAACGAGUAAGAAGAAACAUGAUUUCACGAUAUGUUUUAAAGGAGCGUUUACAUAGAUUGUCUGUGCGUUUAAGCAUGAGAAGCACACGCGUCAGAUAGUUACUGUUGUAAAUGGCUUUGGUCUCGGAUUUAAGGUUUAAUUUUUAUUUUAAAAAUGCCAUCCCUCCACCCAGUGGAUAAAAGUGGUAUGGCAUAGGCUACAACAUUGGCUGAGCUCCUCAGUCCUCACGAUAAACUUAGUCUACUGAAUUGGCUCUUUAUAUGAAUUCUAAUACAGUAGAAUCUAAAAUGUAUCUGACAUGAGACAAAUUGGAAAUUGGAAAGACACAGUCUACCAAAAUAAUGCAGACCUAUACCCUGGAAUAAGCGUGACAACAUCAUGGUCAACACCAGCAGCCAGAGUCUGGCUUUCUACUGUGAGAAACAUAAGCAAGGGGUGCUGCAUAUCCUUCAGGAACAAGCAAGUGUGCUGUAACUGACGCCAAACCUCAGUGAUGACUUCAGCCCCCGGCCGAGUAUUCAAUCAUGCGUCGAUAAAGACACCAAAGGAGUAGGCAACCGGAUAUGACCAGGCUGCUGGUAAUAUCCAGCAGCGGUAGCCAGCAGUAUUGCCCAGCCUGAUCCCGUAGCCAAGGGAAGCCCCUGGAGAUGAACUCAACUGGGCCAUCGCCAGGGGUACCUGGAGAGGUGAAUGCCAUAGACACGGUCUCUACAGGAAACUCCUGGCUGCAGUUCCUUUGAGGUGAACCGUGUCCCUUAAGAGCCACCAUCCACUGCUGUCUUGACUACUCUGGUGAGGGUGACCUAGUAAGUGGAGGGCAUUUUGGACCGAUGUCAUCCCUUGAUCCAGCAGCCUAAAAAUGCACCAGAGUUUCACCCUAAUGAUGUCUUGGAGUUCAUGUCAAGGGUCAAGAAUUGGCUGACAAUAGACAGUUCCACUCAGACUGGGGCUGAAGGACAUACACUUUUCAUAUAUCUCAAAGGGCAACGUCAUUGCCCCCCCCCCCCCCCCUUUUAUCACCAAGUGUUAUGUUUUUAUCCAUGUGGUCUCUUCAGAAAGGCCCAAACAUUAUCCAAGUAUCAUUCCCAAGCACUCCGUUAGGUCAGCGUAAUGAGUCUGUGAACGGCUCACUCCCAUAGUGCUUCCCGAGGGGCCGGUGUAUGCGAUGCACAGGGCUCUGUGUAAUCUGGGUCUGGGGGGACCCAGAGGUUCAGGGGGCCAACUGGAGAAGUGAAGCCCAGGACGGGGGUGCUAUCGUUGGCCUCUGAACCCCGAGGCCCUGUGGGGUACACGCGAGCAGGACGCACAGCAGGCAUUCCUGUAGUAGUUGUACACACACAGGCGAGCCUGGACCACCACGUUGCAGUUGAAGUAUUUGUCCCGACAGUUCUCAUCUGGAAGACAUUGAGGGACGUCUUUAUUACAGAAAGUACACACUGGGCAUCGCUUUCAUGGUAGCAGAAGAUUUAACUUAAACAUAUCUUGUGACGUGUAUUUAUUUAUACGUUUUGGGUUUCAAAGUCUCAGACGUUCACCACAAGAUCACUAGUGUGAUUGUUAGCCUAUGGAUGACUGAAAUCCAAUCCAAAUGUGAUAUUGAUUUCUCCAGUGUGUUGUAAGAUAUAGCUGUAGAUUUUAAUUUCCUAUGUUCUUGACAUUUCACCUUUUAAUAAAAACACCACUAAAUAUAAA